GGGGCUGAUCAUAGCUUAGACGGGAUAUUAACAGUUGUGAGGCGUGUCGAUUAAAUACCGUAAGUAUUGAAUAAGUGCUAAAAACACGAAGACCGCGCAUGUAGCAUACAUGCCGGCUUAUGCCUAAACUUUCAUAGGCUGGUCUGCGCUUAAGGUUCCGUAGAGCGUAGAUUAUCAUACUACGGAAAUAAGGCUAUUUCCCUGGUCAGAAAUAGCUCGAAAACCCUACCAUGGCGCUAAAUAGUUUCGUUUUCUGCAGCUAUUAGUAUAUGCCAAGAUAAAACAGAAAACUACGCACGUAGAAUCAUGACCCAGUGGUAGUCCGGACGCGGAGGCAGUAUCCGCCAGCUCCACCA
rnacentral:tmRNA from 1 species